UUUCCUCAGGACGGAGCGGGGGGUCCAUGGCGGCUCCGGGACCGCACGGGCCGCGUGUCCGCUGGAGGAGGACGCUCCCCGCCCGCGUCUGAGUUUAUGCCGGUUUCCCGCGGCCUGAGCUGGCUUCCUGCCGGGGUGUGUGUGGACCUGACCGAGCUGGGGUCCCGGCCGGCUGGGCAGGAGGGGACGGGUGCGCUGGGGGGCCCGCUUGGACUGUUCUCCUCGCCUGCUGGGAGCGGGCCAUUUGAAUAUGUUCACCCAUGAAGUGAAACAGACUCACUGAAUUCUGAGUCCUGAGAGACAUCUCUGGUGAAAUGCUUCUUAGACAGUGACCCAGGACACAGCCCUACCAGUGGCGUGGUGAUGCGUGGAAGCCUGAUUCGGACCUGCGUCUCUGAAUUCCCAUGGCUGGUAUUGCUUUUCUUCUCAAGUUUGCUCUAUGUCCAUCUUUCAGAGGUCCUGGCCUCUCUUGCCUACUGCCUGGGGAGAAUUAGCCCACACACCUGAAGAAGUGCUGCUCAUCCUGGAUUUUCAGAUAUUCCAAUCUACAAUCCGCAUCAUCCAGAAGAGUGAGGCAAUUCUGUAUAUGGAGGAGGAAAUGGGACACCAAAACCUGACCCACGUGGACGGCUGCAAGAACAAAGAAUUCCUACAGCAAGAAGUUUGCAACAAUCAACCACACCCCCUUUUUUUUUUUUUUGCAUAAAAGAAGCCUAUAUUCUGACUGGAGCAGGAUGAUUCUGCAAAACGUUAGUCUGCCAUCCUCUCAGUCUGCUGGAUUUCCAAAUAAAAUUGCUAUUUCCUGCCCCAACACCUCAUCUCCUGAUUUACUGGCCUGUUGUGCAGUGAGCAGGACGAUCUUUGAACUCAGUAACACAGUAACGACCCAGUUCUAGGAUUCAGAAGCAUUUGCAAGUGUAGUGUCCAAUUUCUAUUGUCCUAAGCCACAUAAGAAAUGUAUUUGAAUUCUAGACAGUUUUUGUAGCAUCGUUCAUUAAGCAGGCAGCCACUUAUUAUACAUAAUUUUGAGCAUCUGAAUAGCACCAACAAAUCUAGUGGAAUUACAGAAGCAGCAAAAAUUUAGGCUCAGCAAGAGUUACAAAGGAUACUUAACUAAAAGCGCAACAACACAUCUUGCCUCUCAUGUUACCUUUCAAAGAGAAUUUUAAAAGAUAUGUGCUAUGGGUACAUGAAAGCAAUGUAAAGCUAUUAUUCAAUGGAAAAUUAAAUCAAGAGUGUUCAUAGAGAUUCUUACUUCUCUGUUCCGUGAUUUUGAUGUGUUCGCUGAAAACGAAGUUUAGCUAGGCAGAGGCUACUGCUCUAUAACUCUUACCAAACAGUGUAAAGAGUCUCCAUGUAAUAUCUGAACAUCUGAACAUAACCUUCAAGACUUUUAUAAAACAAACCCUAUUAAAUUCCAAAGGAAGGAUUCCACUUACAGGGUUGGUUUGGGUCCAUAGGUAGUUCUUGCAUACUAUUAUAUUAUAAUGACAUUCUGGCACUAGUAACAUGAAGUUUUUGUGUAAAUGGAUGAACUCAGAACUACAAAUAUUUGCAAGGCAAAAGCAUUGAGCAAGUCCUGCCAUCAAUAAAAUUUAACUUCAGAGAAACAAAAGGGAGAUUUUUGCAUGUAAUACAUUAAAAUGAGAACUUAUUUACAUGUCAUUUUGAUAGGUUUGAUGUUUUUCAGAGGAAAUGUGUCAUUUUCAAAAAUAUAUCCUUUGUUUUGUAUUAUCUGUCUUUUUAAAGGCACCUUGGACCUAAUAUCAUGUUUUGCUUAAAAAAAAAAAAAAAAAAAAAAAGAUGAUACUGCCCAGGAAACUACUUCUUAGAAAUCUGAGUGGAGAUGAGUAGUCAUUGACUGGCAGACUGUAAUUUAGGUCAAGCACAUAACUUAUAAUGGCUUGUUCUCAAGGAAACAAAGUAUGUAUAAUUUACUUCUACUCAUUAUCUUUGUAUGUUCACAAACCAAAAUGGGACCAUUCUCAGUGUGCUGCUGAGAUUUUGCCUCUAUCCCAUCUAGUCUUGUGCAUGCCCACAGAUCUAAGCCCCACAGUGAUUUAUUGAUUCUGUAUGAAAAUAGAUGGAAAUGUGUUAUUAGUACAGUGGCAGCAGACUUUGAGCACCAGACUUUGAGGCUUUUGUUUUAUAUUUUUUAAAGGAAACACAUGGUAUUCUUGCUGCAUUCUUAAGUUACC